UACGUAGGUGGCAAGCGUUGUCCGGAUUUACUGGGCGUAAAGAGCGCGCAGGCGGUCGUUCAAGUCGCGUGUGAAAGCCCCCGGCUCAACUGGGGAGGGUCACGCGAUACUGAUCGACUCGAAGGCAGGAGAGGGUAGUGGAAUUCCCGGUGUAGUGGUGAAAUGCGUAGAUAUCGGGAGGAACACCAGUGGCGAAGGCGACUACCUGGCCUGUUUCUUGACGCUGAGGCGCGACAGCUAGGGGAGCAAACGGG
rnacentral:rRNA from 1 species